UACGGAGGGUGCAAGCGUUAUCCGGAAUCAUUGGGUUUAAAGGGUGCGCAGGCGGGACUUUAAGUCAGUGGUGAAAUCCCUUCGCUUAACGAAGGAACUGCCAUUGAUACUGAAGUUCUUGAAUUUAGUUGGCGUGGGCGGAAUGUGCCAUGUAGCGGUGAAAUGCUUAGAUAUGGCACAGAACACCGAUCGCGAAGGCAGCUCACGAAACUAAUAUUGACGCUCAGGCACGAAAGCAUGGGGAGCAAACAGG
rnacentral:rRNA from 1 species